rnacentral:rRNA from 1 species
GACGAACGCUGGCGGCGUGCCUAAUACAUGCAAGUCGAACGCUGAAGAGAGGAGCUUGCUCUUCUUGGAUGAGGUGCGAACGGGUGAGUAACGCGUAGGUAACCUGCCUCGUAGCGGGGGAUAACUAUUGGAAACGAUAGCUAAUACCGCAUAACAAUGGAUGACACAUGUCAUUUAUUUGAAAGGGGCAAUUGCUCCACUACAAGAUGGACCUGCGUUGUAUUAGCUAGUAGGUGAGGUAAUGGCUCACCUAGGCGACGAUACAUAGCCGACCUGAGAGGGUGAUCGGCCACACUGGGACUGAGACACGGCCCAGACUCCUACGGGAGGCAGCAGUAGGGAAUCUUCGGCAAUGGGGGCAACCCUGACCGAGCAACGCCGCGUGAGUGAAGAAGGGUUUCGGAUCGUAAAGCUCUGUUGUAAGUCAAGAACGGGUGUGAGAGUGGAAAGUUCACACUGUGACGGUAGCUUACCAGAAAGGGACGGCUAACUACGUG